UGUUUGAAUUUCUGCCUUCUUGUUUUUAUAUUGUGUCGCGUACUUGUAUGUCUAUCGUGUUAGGUGUCUCGUCACCGUGGGAUAGAGAAAAACGUAAUUUCGGUCUCUUUGUGUGUUGUGACAUGUGGAGAGAUUGACAAUAAAGCUGACUUUGACUUUUGACUUUAGUAAACUAGCUAGGCUAGGCUAGCUGUCUUUCUGUGUUGGAAUAAAUGAAGUUUUUAAUCCAUCUUUCAAUAUACCUCUUUAUCGUCUCUCCAUCCAAGUCCAGUUAAGUCUUUGCCAGCUAAGCCAGCGAGGCUAGCUCCAGUUGCCGUUUAUCUGUAAAGUCUUCUAACGCAAGGCUUACUUUGUAUUCACGGGGCAAACUGUCCUCGUAUAAGCUGUUCAAAAUAAUUUUGUUAGCUUGAUAUCCAAAAUGCUUUCAACGACUUACGUGCGCUAGCUAGGUUAGGCUAGUUAUGUGUGUGCUGUGUUGGAAUUCAUGAAGUAUCUGUCAAUCUCUCUGCCCAUCUCUGUCAAACUUUCUAGUAUCAGUUUGUCUGUCAUCCAUUCAUCGAACGUUGAUUUAUCCUUGGUGCACAGCCACAUGCUAACGUAAAGGCCCUCAAUGCGUUUGGAGCCAAAUGUCAGCAAGAUCACCUGUCGUGGUGGCCAUGUUUUCUAGGCCGUGUGAAUGCUCAUGCUAAAGCUACAACGUCAUGUUGCCUGUCCGUCAGCUCCCGGCGGGCCUCGUUUGCGCUUCUGCCGCCCAUCUGAACCCGAGCUGAACCGAGCAGGCAGCUUAUGGAAGGGCCUGUGAGCCAAUCGCACGGCGGGGAACACUGGCAGUAGGCGGUAGUCCGCAGUCACCUUGCCGGAAGCUCUCUGCAUGGCGCUUUAAUGAAGGCGGAGGGGGAGAGAGCGUGUCCGGAGGUGUUGUUGAUGAGGAGUAUGAUGAUGUCACGUCGGGCUGGCGCGAGAGGCAGCAGAUCGCUUCUGACUCGGUCAGCAGAUGUUUGGAAAUGGCGCUAAUGUGAGCACGCUGCCGCCUCGACGGGCGGCGGGGGAAACUGAUUGUGAGCAGAACUGAAAUACAAACAAGAUUAUUUUUAGCCCCUUGUCGCUGGCCAAUGAAAAGCAAAUCAUGUGGACGUUUAUACAGUAAAGCAGCACGUUUUAACCACCGGCCUUUUUGAAAAUUCAAACCCUGAAGAAAUUUGAGACGUAUGUUUAGCAGGAAUAGAUCCACAAAAAUGUCUCAAGAAGUGAUUCCUAAAAAAAGGGCGUACAACCAUUUGGGUCGUGUUGUACUGUUAAAAAGGGCAACACGGGUGAAAGGUGGUGACCCAUGUCACCCUCCGAUUGACCGGCCAGGCUUCCGAUGGUGCCAAGCUAAAAUGUUCGCCUCUGACUGGAUUAUCCGAUCGCUAGAUGUUAGCCCCGCGUGCUAGCAUGUGGAUUAAUCCUAAAAAUAAAAGGACAUCAACAUGUUUGUCACCUUGGACAAGGAAAGGGAACAAAGAGUCACCAGGCAAAACAUGUUUGCGGUGGGAAAGGUGUGAACCGCCACAAGUUGGAUUGCUAAAUGAAAGGACUUAAAAGAUUAACAUGUAUUAAUGAUGGCAACAUUUUUAAAAAAUGAUUCUAAUCAUGUUUGACCUUGAGUAAAAUGUAAACAAAACACUACUCGCCUCAGAAUUAUUUUCCAAUAACCUUAAAAAUUUACAUUUCUUUAAAAUAUAUAUCAAAUACAAUCUUGGAUCAUUCUUUUGGAGGUUACAAGCCACCGUUGGAACAAUUAAAUAUUAAUUACUAUACAAAGUAUUUCUUUCAAAUAAAUGUUUACAUCCAUCAUAACUAUUAUUUGGUAUUUUUAUACAAACUGAAUGAAUGAUUACAAUUUUAAACUAUUCUCAGUCAUUUUUACACAUUUUGUCCUUGCACCAUCAGUAAAUAAACAUGACCACCGUUAAGAAAGCUCAAACGUGACUUCAAAAACCUCCUGUACCGCUAAAACAGUUUUUGUGAUGGCCCAGGCACAGAUCGAUCUUGGCUCUGUAUUUUUGCCUUUUGUCGUAUUGACUGACCGGCAUUAUAAUAGUGAUACGGAAACAAAGGAUGACUUUGUCAUAGUCAUGUUUUCAUAACUUUCAGCUGAGAGACGUGACAUUGUAUCUUAGUGACGUGAAUGAACAAUGUGGUUUGGCAACAGGCCUGAGUGAUGUAGCAAUGUAACUUAGCGACAUAGCUUUGUGACAUUGCAACAUAGCUAAGUGAUGCAGUUAAGUUUAGCCUCGUACGUAGGGGACAAAAUCAAAGGUUCCAUCAUGAGCCUUAGCGUCAUAGCUUAGCGAUGGAACUUAGCGACACAGCAUCGUUGUGACAUAGCUUAGCUGGCUAGCUGGGUGAUGUAGCUUAGCAACGCGUCUGACUGACGUUGCGACAUUGCUAGAUUCGCAAUGUAGUGACACAUGAGCGGGUGAGUGCGAUUCCAACCCCGCCAUUUCUUCCCCAAAGUCACCCGACUUACUUUUCCACAUGUAAUGUCUUUCAUAAUCACUCCUUUUCCUGCUUUUAUGUAUUAUGCCUUCAAUAAUUGCUGCGUCUGCUGGUCAUUUUUAAUUGAGUGGGGCCUUUUAAUGAGCCCGCACGUCUUUAAGGCGUUCCAUAAUCGUUUUCAUUUUGCCCAAUGUCGCCGAUCAAUCUUAACGCACGACUCACUUUUUUGUCAUCUUAGCAAAGUACGUUUGACAUUGUUAAAUCAUUUUGACUUUUUAGUAUUAUUGUGGUAGUUGGUCAGACUUUGCAUGAAUGUGGCCGUAAAUAUAUAUAUAUAUAUAUAUAUAUAUGGUCUAAAUCCUGCCAUGUCUUUGUUGCAAGAAUCAUAUUUGAUGUUUGCGUCGUAAUUGAGAUGAUGUUGAUGAUCUUGUUUGUCGGCCAAAGGAGAUUCCGCCACCGCGCAGGAUUAGCGGGAAGUUUGGUGGCUUAGCAGGAAAAAAAGCUUGAGGAAGGAACAAAAACAUUAAAAUCAGUCAUGUUAAAAUUGGAUUGAAACAAGAGGAUCGCGUUUGUUUCUUUGUUUGACAAGGACCUGAGUUAAUAAUGUCACGUGGAGAUCACAAACAACUUGUAAACAGUUCAGAUGGAUGGAACAACAAUCUGGAGGGGCACAAAAUAGUUUGACUUUUAAACAAUAGAUCAAAAGAAAUGAUCGUAAUGGUUCUUUUGAUAUUGAUAUUGACAUGACUUACUAUUUCAAGAGUGUCAUAUUUUCAUGACGUAAAAUUAUUUUGUUCUUAUGAGACCAAAGAUGUAAGAGACUUUUGACAUAAUCCCUUUAUUUUUUGUAAUUACUCUAAAGCUAUUUAAUAAGAAAAAAAAACCUUUUCCCUCAAUUCAGCAGUCAUGCCCCGUACUUGCCAAAUGAAGAGACAUGAUUCAAGUGUUCAAUGUUAAUAAUAGCCCGCAGUCAACAAUAAACUUGUUUCAUAAUGACAACCUCAAGCAGCUCGAAGCGAGUCAUUUGGUUGCGAAAAUGUUUGCGCUGACACGCUUUGGGCUAAAACAAGUCUCCCUUAAAAGACAUCAUUAAAAAUACGCAUACUUUUUUUUCAGCAUGCCUCAAGGAGACAAGCUUCUGUCCAUCAAAAUCGAAAAAAAAAAAGACUCAUUCUGUAAUUAUGAGCAGUCAGCAGAUGAUUAGAUUGACACUGUACCUGAUCAUCAAGCGGCGUGACAACAAUGAAGAAAAAGUGACGGUUGAUGGUUGCAGACUAUUGAAAAGACUUUUUUAAACAGUGCAAAAUAUCCAAAGUCAAAUGUAAAAAUGCUUGCCAAACAUGCCUGGCGUAAAAAAAAAUUAAAACUUUGGAUGAAAACGACGACUCUGGAGUUGAUCUCAAGUGUCGUCACGUUCGCUCAUAAAUAUUCACCUGAUGCUCCCAGUCGGACAAACUUUGGAAUGGCGGCUACAGUUGCACGCAUCAUUUUGGAGGAGGGCGACGUACCAGGGGCGAAAUUACAACACGAUUUUAUCGCAGAACAUAGUGUGGAUCAACCCAAACGUUGGCCGACAUGUUGAGGCCCCAAAGUCAGCGGGAAGAAAGCCGUUUUCGUCGAAAGUUGGAUUUAGCGUUUGGAAUGCUUUGGCACGCACGCGUGUACCACAGCGUCCAUUUUUUAUGCCAACCCAUGAAAAAUGAACAUUUCCUUUCGGCGUGAGGAAGAUGCGUCGAGACGCCCUCGUCUUCCUCACUUCAUCGUCAUGGCGGCGGCCCUGAUCUUCGCCCCGCCGUGGGGCGCCGCCGUUGACAUUGAGAGCGUGCGACAAGGGCCGCGCCCGGGCUGGACGGCGCCCCCUGCAAGAUGAACUCUCAUUUGCGCAGCAGCUGUGCCGAGCUGAGAGCAUCAAAUAUUGAGGGAAACAGCUGCCCGCCAUCCGCCGCCGCCGCCGCCAUUAACACCCCUUUCUCCCCCUCCACCGCUAUGCUUUGCUCCUGCCACAAAAAAAACACACCGCUGUUUCUCACUGCGCGGCUUUUGAAAACCCCGCCGGCAUCUUGGCUCCGCAGCUUCCGUGCAGUGCGUCAACACAAGUGCACAAACUGCUUAAAAUAAUGGCAAACGUGGACCUUGGCGAUCAGAAACAUUUGAUUGAAAUCAGGGAUUUCCCGUUUCUGUACAGACCGACUGGUACCAGUCCGUGGGUCACUUGGUACCGGGCCGCCAAGCCGGACAGAAAAAAAAAAAAAAUUGACGAUCAAUUAAUUCAGGCCAAGACACUCGUCCCGGUCACGUGACAUGUUUCCCCAGUCGAGCUCGCAAAGCUAGCAAAAAUGAGUAUAAAUUUAUUUUGGAAAAUAUUAAAAAAAAUUGGCAAUUCUCUCCCAAUUACAUCCAUCGGUUCAGGUCAAGACGCUCAUCUCGAUCACGAUCCUACGAAGCAAGCAAAUAUGAGCAAGAAACAGAUGUUUGGAAAAAAGCCCAAUGAGGAGACGGAAGAAGAAGAGGCUACGACUUCUAAGAAAAGUGACUCUGACGCGCCAAGCCCACUCUGCAUAAUAUGUGGCGACGGUAGAGAUGCACCGAUCCGACUUUUUCAGUUCCGAUACCGAUGCCGCGGCUUUGCGUAUCGGUCGAUACCCGAUACCGAUCCGAUAUUAUGGU